rnacentral:lncRNA from 1 species
UAAAGUUUGAGAACCACUGUUUUCAUACCAGGAAUGAUCAGUCACCAACUGAAUCAGAAUUUCUCACUCUUCCCCUUGCCUUUCAGUAAGGAUCGGCCAGAAGAACACAAGAAGGGAAGGGGGGUAUCUUCCCCUGCCAGACAGUUCUGGUGAGCCAGCCAGGAGUAGGCAUGCUGGCUGGAAAACUGCUUUCUCCUUGAGGCUGCUGCAGCUCAGAGAUCCUGGGACAUCGGACACAGAAGCUGGCAAAGAGAGAAUCUCAUCAUAAGUUGCUGUGGAGAAUCAAAUUGAAAGGAGGACACAAAAAGG